UCUGCCCGCUGGCGGCGUGCUUAACACAUGCAAGUCGAACGGUGAAGGCGGAGCUUGCUCUGCUGGAUCAGUGGCGAACGGGUGAGUAACACGUGAGCAAUCUGCCCCUGACUCUGGGAUAAGCGCUGGAAACGGCGUCUAAUACUGGAUACGAGCUGCGAAGGCAUCUUCAGCAGCUGGAAAGAAUUUCGGUCAGGGAUGAGCUCGCGGCCUAUCAGCUUGUUGGUGAGGUAAUGGCUCACCAAGGCGUCGACGGGUAGCCGGCCUGAGAGGGUGACCGGCCACAAGGGGACUGAGACACGGCCCAGAGUCCAACGGGAGGCAGCAGUGGGGAAUAUUGCACAAUGGGCGAGAGCCUGAUGAAGCAACGCCGCGUGAGGGAAGACGGCCUUCGGGUUGUAAACCUCUUUAAGCAAGGAAGAAGCGGAAGUGACGGUACCUGCAGAAAAAGCGCCGGCUAACUACGUG
rnacentral:rRNA from 1 species